rnacentral:rRNA from 1 species
GCCUACGGGGCGCAGCAGUGGGGAAUAUUGGGCAAUGGGCGCAAGCCUGACCCAGCAACGCCGCGUGAAGGAAGAAGGCUUUCGGGUUGUAAACUUCUUUUAUCAGGGACGAAGCAAGUGACGGUACCUGAUGAAUAAGCCACGGCUAACUACGUGCCAGCAGCCGCGGUAAUACGUAGGUGGCAAGCGUUAUCCGGAUUUACUGGGUGUAAAGGGAGCGCAGGCGGGAAGCCAAGUCAGCUGUGAAAACUACGGGCUUAACUUGUAGACUGCAGUUGAAACUGGGUUUCUUGAGUGAAG